UACAGAGGUCUCAAGCGUUGUUCGGAUUCAUUGGGCGUAAAGGGUGCGUAGGCGGCGCGGUAAGUCGGGUGUGAAAUUUCGAGGCUUAACUUCGAAACUGCAUUCGAUACUGCCGUGCUUGAGGACUGGAGAGGAGACUGGAAUUUACGGUGUAGCGGUGAAAUGCGUAGAUAUCGUAAGGAAGACCAGUGGCGAAGGCAGCCCCCUGGGCUAGCACUGACGCUCAGGCACGAAAGCGUGGGGAGCAAACAGG
rnacentral:rRNA from 1 species